CGCAUCUUUACAUUAGUAUCUAUAGGAUAUAUAUAAGAAAAAUAUAUCGAGACGAUUUCGAUUCAACUUAUAUUUAGUUCUCCAAAAAAUUGUUCCUGCAAAAUUGAUCCCCUUCCUUAUAAAGAGAAAUAUCAUGAUUUUGACAAGUAGAAAUGUACUAUAGCUGGUAAGUCAUGGAAAUUAGAUCUAUAAAUAUCUACAAUUUAAUACGAAAGCAGUGAAUGUAUCGAAGAAACUCGUUGGGCAGCAUCCAUAUGGAAGCUGCUAAGCAUUCGGUAAUAUCGAACAUAAUGAUACGUAAAUCUUUACCCGGGCAUGAUACAUUUUUUACGCUAAUUUAAUUUGAAAGAUAUAUUUAUUAAUUUAUUUAUUUGUUUAUUAUAGUUAUUUACUGAUAUCUAGUUGUUAUUUAUCGGUUUACCUUUCUCCAACACAUAGUAGCAGAAUAAAUAUUCUUUUAUGGUAAUUAUUCCGUAACAGGUACACAUCACCGAUUUGAAUAACAUUGAAACACAGUUUCAAGGUGGACAUUCUAACCAAUAUUUUUCUAUACCUGUUAACGCCGCUUGGCCUUGGUUUCCAAGGUGAGCACAUUUUCAAAUAGACCGAAUUAAACAGAACUCACUAGUGUGAGAGAUAACUAUUUUUAA